rnacentral:rRNA from 1 species
UGGGGAAUAUUGCACAAUGGGCGCAAGCCUGAUGCAGCCAUGCCGCGUGUAUGAAGAAGGCCUUGGGUUGUAAAGUACUUUCAGCGAGGAGGAAGGCAUUAAGGUUAAUAACCUUAGUGAUUGACGUUACUCGCAGAAGAAGCACCGGCUAACUCCGUGUCAG